AGAGGCUUAGGAUAAUCUUUUUAAACCAAGAGCCUUCAAAGCUCUCAAUAAGGGCCAAAACCCUUAGCCCCUG
rnacentral:tRNA from 1 species